rnacentral:rRNA from 1 species
AUGUACCUUGAUGCACGUUACCUAUCCGCAGGUGAAGCAUCUUGGCGUAUCUUUGGAUUUGAACUUCAGCACCGGCAGCCUUCUGUAGAGAGACUGCAAUUCCAUCUUCAAGGUGAGAAAAUUGUCGUGUUCCCGGACUCAACUGAUAUUGAGAAAAUUGUACAUAGACCUGGCAUAGAGGAAACAAUUUUCACUGAAUGGAUGACCGCUAAUCAAUUGUAUGAGGAGGCCCGUAAUCUGACAUAUGCAGAAUUCCCCACUAAGUGGACGUGGCAUGCAAAGGAGAAAAGAUGGAAACCAAGGAAAGGCAGGAAACGGUCUAUUGAGAGGAUCUACAAUGCCCAUCCAGCAAGUGGUGAGAAAUAUUACCUAAGGAUUCUGCUAAAUACUGUCAAAGGUUGUAAAUCAUAUGACGACAUCAGAAAAGUAAAUGGUAUUGUACACCCAACCUAUAAAUCAGCAUGUUAUGCCCUUGGAUUACUCAAUGAUGACCAAGAGUGGGAUGAUUGUAUUAAGGAAGCAUCACACUAG